rnacentral:rRNA from 1 species
CAGCAGCCACGGGAAUACAGAGGGUGCGAGCGUUAAUCUGAUUUACUGGGCGUAAAGCGUGCGUAGGCGGCUUUUUAAGUCGGAUGUGAAAUCCCUGAGCUUAACUUAGGAAUUGCAUUCGAUACUGGGAAGCUAGAGUAUGGGAGAGGAUGGUAGAAUUCCAGGUGUAGCGGUGAAAUGCGUAGAGAUCUGGAGGAAUACCGAUGGCGAAGGCAGCCAUCUGGCCUAAUACUGACGCUGAGGUACGAAAGCAUGGGGAGCAAACAGGAUUAGAUACCCCCGUAGUCCCUGUCUCUUAUAC